rnacentral:lncRNA from 1 species
CCGGAAACGUACCUGGAGUCGCCGGAGUGAGGAGUCGCCGGAGAGUCAGCCGAGUGGGAGCUGCCGGAGAGAUGGGAGAGACGCCGGAAAAGGAAGAACGAAGCUUCAGCCGACGAGAGGAGCGACGAGCACGGACGAAGGAGAAGAGUUCACCUUUGUUCCGAUUUUGUUCUUUUGUUCCUUUGGUUUUUGUUCUUUUGUU